rnacentral:rRNA from 1 species
CCUACGGGAGGCAGCAGUGGGGAAUAUUGGACAAUGGGGGCAACCCUGAUCCAGCCAUGCCGCGUGUGUGAAGAAGGCCCUCGGGUUGUAAAGCACUUUCAGUGAGGAAGAACGCCUGGUGGUUAAUACCCAUCAGGAAAGACAUCACUCACAGAAGAAGCACCGGCUAACUCCGUGCCAGCAGCCGCGGUAAUACGGAGGGUGCGAGCGUUAAUCGGAAUUACUGGGCGUAAAGCGCGCGUAGGUGGCUUGAUAAGCCGGUUGUGGAAGCCCCGGGCUCAACCUGGGAACGGCAUCCGGAACUGUCAAGCUAGAGUGCAGGAGAGGAAGGUAGAAUUCCCGGUGUAGCGGUGAAAUGCGUAGAGAUCGGGAGGAAUACCAGUGGCGAAGGCGGCCUUCUGGACUGACACUGACACUGAGGUGCGAAAGCGUGGGUAGCAAACAGGAUUAGAUACCCUGGUAGUC